rnacentral:rRNA from 1 species
AUUGAACGCUGGCGGCAGGCCUAACACAUGCAAGUCGAGCGGGGUUUUCGGACCUAGCGGCGGACGGGUGAGUAAUGCGUAGGAAGCUGCCCGAUAGAGGGGGAUACCAGUUGGAAACGACUGUUAAUACCGCAUAAUGUCUACGGACCAAAGUGUGGGACCUUCGGGCCACAUGCUAUCGGAUGCGCAUACGUGGGAUUAGCUAGUUGGUGAGGUAAUGGCUCACCAAGGCGACGAUCUCUAGCUGGUUUGAGAGGAUGAUCAGCCACACUGGAACUGAGACACGGUCCAGACUCCGACGGGAGGCAGCAGUGGGGAAUAUUGGACAAUGGGCGCAAGCCUGAUCCAGCCAUGCCGCGUGUGUGAAGAAGGCCUUCGGGUUGUAAAGCACUUUCAGCGAGGAGGAAGGGGUGUGCGUUAAUAGUACACACCUUUGACGUUACUCGCAGAAGAAGCACCGGCUAACUCUGUGCCAGCCGCCGCCGUAAUAC